AGUCGUAACAAGGUUUCGUAGGUGAACCUGUGGAAGGAUCAUUAACACGUAUCCAAACGUUAAAACAACCCUGUGAACCUUCAGCGUUUUCUUGCAGGACAUCCAGGCGCUAAAGAGUUACAGAUUUUGAUUUUGGGAAGUUUGUGUGUACGUAGACGCUGCAAUUGAGCGCUAGGUAAAGCACCCUGGUACCCUAGAGCACUCCCCUGUCUGAAAGCGACAGGGAUCAAUGUUCAGGGUGGCGCAGUCAACGAUCGCUGUAGGUCCACACGACCGGCGACCGGGGUGAGAGGCGAAAGCUCCUACGUCAUCCCUAUGUACCCUCCGGGACUUGGCGAAAGCUGACUCCGUCAUAAAUCGAACAACUCUUGGUUCUC
rnacentral:misc_RNA from 1 species